UUCGUGGCUUAUACGUGAACUAAAUAUAUUAGAAUGCAUUCUUGUCGUUCCGUUUGUAAAAUACCAUUCGUAAAAUACUAUCUAAAUUAAUUGAAAUUGACAUUCAUUAUAAUUGGAUUCACAAUCAGUAUAAUAAUUGUUAACAAGAGUCAAUAAUACAAUAUAGGAUUGAUAUUCGAAAAAUGUUGGCAUAAAAUUUCAAGAAGUUUCAAGUUUUCAGGAAAAAGUAAAAUGUGAGAAUAAAAUAUAAUAAGGACAGAAUUCAGUUAGCAAACUUUACAUUCAAUUCUUCAUAAAUAUAAAAUUCGCCAAUCAUGAUUUUGUUCCUUUUUCUCGGCGAAAAGAAAGAAAAAGAGCGAAAACGAAAAAAUGAAAAAUAUUCUUGUCAAUGCGAAAAAAAGACUGGUUAUAAAUUACAUAAAACAAGGUCGACAUCCUAGUGAAUGGAAUACAUUUUUCUUUUGACAGUAAUACAGCUUGGCUGAUUGCAUUGCCAAAUAAUGAUAUACUUUGUUUCAAUGUGUUAACAGGAAAUUCACACCUAUCAUUUCAAUUAUUCUAUCUUAUUUUUUUCGAUUAUUUAAAAAAUUUUUGCCAAAUUAAAGUAAUAUUUUUCGAAUGAAAAAAAAAAAAGAAACAAAAAGAAGAUAUUUCAAUGAUCUAAUUAGUUAAAUUAAAAGGAUGGGACGAGUUUUCAUUAAAAUGCGUCAAAGCAACGCACUUUAUUGUUCAUAAUAUUUAAACGUGGAAAUUGUUAGAGAGUAAAGUUAAAUGAAUCGAAGGGAAUAAUUCUCACGACUCAAAUUCGAUAAAGAGGAUGAAAUCUUUUUCCCCAUGAAUAUGAGCGAUUGGAUAAAAACGGCGAAGUCAACAAUCAUAAUGACAGAUAUGAUAACAGUGACGAAUGAAUCGAAAAUUGAUCAAUUUUUUCAAUUUUCAUUAAUUACUUUAAAUGAUCCAGAAUUAUUUUUAGAAUUUUUGAAAGAUUAAAAUAUUAAAAAAAAUUGAGAUUAAUGAAAUAAAAUAGAAAUUUUUAUAAAUAAUAAUUUUUUUAUCUAAAUUUUUUUUAAAUUUUUAAAAGCCUGAAAUAUUAAAAAAAAAAAGAUCCUAAUAAAUGAUCUAGGA